rnacentral:tRNA from 1 species
GUAGGUAUAGUUUAACAAAAAUAUUAGAUUGUGAUUCUAAAGUCAGAGGUUAAAAUCCCCUUACCCACC